rnacentral:rRNA from 1 species
UACAGAGGGGGCAAGCGUUAUUCGGAAUUAUUGGGCGUAAAGGGCGCGUAGGCGGCAUGGCAAGUGGAUGGUGAAAUCCCUCGGCUUAACCGAGGAGCUGCGUCCGAUACUGAAAGGCUUGAAUCCGGGAGAGGGAUGUGGAAUUCCAGGUGUAGCGGUGAAAUGCGUAGAUAUCUGGAGGAACACCGGUGGCGAAGGCGGCAUCCUGGACCGGCAUUGACGCUGAGGCGCGAAAGCUAGGGGAGCAAACGGG